UCAUAUUUUGUCUUCAGACAUGUAACUAAUUCAAUAUACUGUUUGCUUCAGAAGGUGACAUCUACAAGAGGUUACGGCUGAGAACAGCACUUGCAGGUAUGCUGCUGGAUUUAAUGUGAUCGUUGAAAUAGACGAUUUGUUCCCCUUUUUUUUUUUUUUUUUUUUUUUUUUUUUUUUUUUUUUUUUUUUUUUUAUUUUUUUUUUAUUUUUUUACUUUUAUCUUGUAUGCUUCGUCACUGACAUUCUCCGGUCAACAGACACCCACAAAGCAUUACAGGAGCAUUAUGGGAACUCAGCAGAGAGUAUGAGUAUGGCAUGACAUGGGCACAGAUGUGACUGAGGGCUCAAACAAACAUUUUAAUAAAGCAACAGGACAUUAGUAGUCAGGAAAUGGACAGACCUGAGGAGAAUGGGAGAUACCGACCCCCAAGGACCCAGAAGUUGUUAGAUAAACACAACUCUGUGGUCACAGAUACAGACAGACUAAAUCUGGACUUUAUGAAAGAGAUGGAUCCCAUAAUCAGUAGAACGAACCUCAAAGACCAGGCUGGUAAACCACAUGAUACUGACAAACACCAGCAGGAGAGCCGCAAAAGAGCAAUGGAUUUAGACAGCCCAGAGUUUGUGGACACCCCGGAUAGACCAGACCUAGAUGCUGACAGUGAAGAAUGUGGUGGUGGUCGAAGAACAUCUCAGACACAAAUCUCAGGACAUACUGGACGACAGCAGGGAAUGGGCUCCUGGGAUGCACAGAAACAUCUGCUGAACAUCCCAUGGAAGAGAACAACAGUCUGGAUGCCCCUAAUGUGGACCAGAAGAUUCAAAAGGACACAAUGAGCUAUCAGAACCAGCUGAGGAAAAUAUGUCCCACCAAGAGAGUACGAGCAUCCAACAACCCAAGAGCACAGCUGGAUUUAGAUAGUCCAGAGAGAGUCAACAGUGAACCUUUGAACAGAGACAACAGCAGAGAGAGGCUGGAAUAUCAUGUGGCAGCUCCUCUGUAGAGCGAUUAUUUAUUUAUUUAUUUUUUUCCCCUGAAUAUCUACUUUUUUUUUUUUUCAUUUUGACAGUGUGAUUUGAAUGUCUAUUUGAUCUAAUAACUUUUUUGAUGGAUUGUUUGUUAUGGACCUGCAUAAAUCAUUAUUAAUCAUUCUAUGUGAUCUAUGAUCUUGUGGGAUGUCAGUAUUAUUGAAAUGAUAUAGAAAUGAUUAAGAAACUGUCCCCUUAACUUAGGACACAUUUUGCUGAAUAAUAAUAGCGUAAAAUAAACUACUACUACUCCAA
rnacentral:lncRNA from 1 species